UACGUAGGCAGCAAGCGUUGUUCGGAGUUACUGGGCGUAAAGAGUGUGUAGGCGGUUCGCUAAGUUUGGUGUGAAAUCUCCCGGCUUAACUGGGAGGGUGCGCCGAAUACUGGUGGGCUAGAGUGUGGGAGAGGGAAGCGGAAUUCCUGGCGUAGCGGUGAAAUGCGUAGAGAUCGGGAGGAAGGCCGGUGGCGAAGGCGGCGCUCUGGAACAUUUCUGACGCUGAGGCUCGAAAGCGUGGGGAGCAAACAGG
rnacentral:rRNA from 1 species